rnacentral:lncRNA from 1 species
AGCACGUGAAUUGAUCUCAUACAUGAUAUGCAUGGCUCGAUCUGGCUGAUGGCUGCUACGGCUUAAAGGCACCAUACAGAUCGAAGAUGAAAAUAAAAUAGUAGUAUUGGAUUUAGUUGACAAUAUCGCCAAUAGAUAUAUUGUUACUAAGCAAACUUUUUCUGGAAUUGACUUUUCGACGACACAACUGCCGGCAUAUAUAUAUAUAUUCGAGGAUAUCCCAUCAUAUAGAUUUUCCUCACUUAUGUACAGCUUAGCGCGUAUACAGGGGUGUAUUUGCAUAUGCUCACUGAAUCCGCCCGCACGUGGCUACUUAACAUCGAGUAACACAAUGUAUCCGUCCAUAUCUUAUGCAUAGCUUCUUUACUUUCAUUUGAAGAUCGGAAAUCCAUAUAUAUACAUAUACUAAUUACCACCUGCUGCAAUGUAUCUUUUCUCUGGGAUACUUGUUAUGUAUACUGCAAAUACUACCUACAUUAAACGACCAGUGCAGUGUAUCUGCCCGUCUGUUCUGCCAACCCAGUUAAUCUAUAAUUAGCCCAUAUCUUCCUUUCUUAAUCUGCCAACCCAGUGUAUCCAGUUAUUUAUAUCCUAGCUAAUGUAGACAGCCGAAGCUGUAGUUGGUGAUGCCGCGGUAGCGGCUAGCUAGCUAGCUAGCUAGAUGCAUGCUAUGAUAUCUUGAUAUGAUCCUCCCGGCCCCAGACAUAAUCUCUGUGAUUUGGUUAGAACGAGAUUACAUUGCUCGGGCGCCAAGUCAGAGAUUACAUAGUUCAAGACACUUCACCCAUUGAGUCAGUUUGUUUGACCUCAUAUAUCAUAUUUUCUUGCCAUUGUGUAUAUGGUCGUGAAGAAUGACAAGCAGUGUUAUAAGCGAUCGCAAGAUGGAUCCAUGGACGUUAUGUACGUAGUUUGAUGUGCAUCUAAGUACAAAGAAUAUGCUAGACAAAUGAAGGCUAGAAAUAACGCAUAAUAAACAUAAAAACAAGGUCCUAAUGAAGGAACGAAAUCUGUAUAAACGACCUCCGAGUGAGGAAGAUAUAAAAAUUAAGUUGUUUUUUCAACCUCCCCUUUUGACUCUAUGUAAUCGGGUCACAGGCUUUUAAUUAAUUUGCAUCUGGCUUGCAUGUGAACAACCUAGCUGGCUUGCUAAAAGAUAUAUAUAUAUAUAGAUAGACCCCCC